rnacentral:rRNA from 1 species
GACGAACGCUGGCGGCGUGCUUAGCACAUGCAAGUCGAACGGAAAGGCCCUGCUUUUGUGGGGUGCUCGAGUGGCGAACGGGUGAGUAACACGUGAGUAACCUGCCCUUGACUUUGGGAUAACUUCAGGAAACUGGGGCUAAUACCGGAUAGGAGCUCCUGCUGCAUGGUGGGGGUUGGAAAGUUUCGGCGGUUGGGGAUGGACUCGCGGCUUAUCAGCUUGUUGGUGGGGUAGUGGCUUACCAAGGCUUUGACGGGUAGCCGGCCUGAGAGGGUGACCGGCCACAUUGGGACUGAGAUACGGCCCAGACUCCUACGGGAGGCAGCAGUGAGGAAUAUUGCACAAUGGGCGGAAGCCUGAUGCAGCAACGCCGCGUGCGGGAUGACGGCCUUCGGGUUGUAAACCGCUUUCGCCUGUGACGAAGCGUGAGUGACGGUAAUGGGUAAAGAAGCACCGGCUAACUACGU